GGGCAAUUAGCUCAGGUGGUUAGAGCGUCGCCUUUACACGGCGGAUGUCGGGGGUUCGAAUCCCUCAUUGCCCA
rnacentral:tRNA from 1 species